UACGAAGGGGGAGCUAGCGUUGUUCGGAAUUACUGGGCGUAAAGCGCACGUAGGCGGAUAUUUAAGUCAGGGGUGAAAUCCCGGGGCUCAACCCCGGAACUGCCUUUGAUACUGGGUAUCUCGAGUCCGAGAGAGGUGAGUGGAAUUCCGAGUGUAGAGGUGAAAUUCGUAGAUAUUCGGAGGAACACCAGUGGCGAAGGCGGCUCACUGGCUCGGUACUGACGCUGAGGUGCGAAAGCGUGGGGAGCAAACAGGG
rnacentral:rRNA from 1 species